UCUCCUGUCAACUCUUCUCCAUCUCCAUCGCUCUCUUCAUCUCCAUUGUUCUUCUCCAUUUCCAUCGCUCUCUUCAUCUCCAUCGUUGUCUUCUCUUUCGUGCUCUUCUCCAUCACGCUUCUCUUGUCAGCUCUUCUCCAUCUCCAUCGCUCUCUUCAUCUCUAUUGCUCUUCGCCGUCGCUCUGUUCUCUUAUCAGCUCUUCUUCUCCAUCACUCCCUUCACCCCGUCGACAAACGAAACCAGAACCCUAACCACCAAAAUCGUAGAGUGUUCGACCUUGUCGUUUGAAAGCGUCUAAAAUCUGACGGAUGAACCGAAAGAGAGAAGUGAACAGAGUGACCGCGUGGAUUCUCCAAAAUUCCGCCGUUAUCUCCACUGUGAUUCUUCGCCAUUAUCAAUUGAGGGGAAUUCUAUUAGAAAUGGUCAAGGUAAUGCUUCAAAUACCAAUUGGAAAAAUGGUUCAAGGAAAAUUUGUGUAAGAAAUCCAAUCAUGUGGGUUGCAGAAGUCUCAGUUUCAUCAUGGGAAUGAUGCAAAGAGAAAAUGUGGGUCUCAUAAUAACCACACAAGCUGUCUGAAGCUUUUGACAAGCAACAUAGGGCUCUGUCUUAAAAACAAGUUGAUGAGUAACAAACCUUUUUUGGAGCAAAGCCGAGAAGUUGAUGAGCAACAAACCCUUUUGGAGCAGAGUCGACACUAAUUGAUA